rnacentral:lncRNA from 1 species
CCACUUGGAGCAGAAGUUUAAGGUUCAUGUUUUUGUUACCAGGACAGGAGCAGGUUUUGCAAAUUAUAGAGCCAGUCCUGAAGAGGUAAAGGAAUAUAAAAGGGCCUUUCUUCAAGACAUUAUGUGAAUUUCACGAAAACACGCACGGUUAAAAGUGGAACAUUUGGUGAAUAUUAGGGAUUUUAAAAAAUGUUUCAAAGAAGUAUUUUAAAUGGUCAUAUUUUAUGGAGCCUUCUCUGAUGGUCCCCCAGGCAGAUAGACAUCUUACGAUGCACAGGCAGCCCCACACAACACAGCACUCUGUGUUGCACGGUAAUCAACGAGAUUACUUGUCUUUCUCAUCCAAAAGGUAGUAACUUUCUUGAGGACGGAGUUGUGUGUUUCAUGUCUGAAAGGCAGGCUAUGUGGAAAGAGCCGGUGUUCCCGCAAUGGAGGUGUUUCUGCACUCACUCUUCCAGAGUUAACUAUAUGACCGUAAGAAAAUUACUUACUUUUUAUACUCAUUUUCCUAAUCUGCAAAUGGUUAAAAAUUAUGACUUCUUCAAAGGGUCAUUGCAAGGAAGGUAAGUUCAUGGGUGAAUAGUGCCUAGUACAUAGCAGAUAAAUUAUUAUUUAUUGUUGAAUAUUUAAAUAUAAGAUGCAACUGAAAAACAUCUGCUCGUGUUUUUCAUUUUGAAAACUGUGGAUCUUUUAAAAAGACUCAAUGAAAAAUAAGGAUUAAAAUAAAAUGAUCUUUUUAUACCGCCUUUGUUCUUUCUUUUAAUCUUCUCUUUUACCAUCUUUUCAGGAAGACACUCAUUGGAUUACGCUUUUAUAAUUUUCCUAGCCUGUCUCUAAUAUCUCCUACUAUAUGUAACAAUAUGCCCAUAGCUUUGUGACUUGUAAGUAUUCCCUCAGCCCACAAAUUCACUAACAUAAUCUUUUCUUUCUCCAUUUUACUGUCAAAAUUCACAUGUUUCUUGCACAGGUUCUCCUCACAUUUCUUCACUGUGAAAACAUUACAAACUUGCAAAGCUUGUUUAUUACCCAUCACGAUACAGGAACUAAACACACUCUUGAAGAUCUCCCAGUGACUUUCUUAUCGCCAAAAUUCAUGGAUUUUAUAAUAUUAUUAU